rnacentral:lncRNA from 1 species
GUGAGCGCGGGCUUGAGACCUGCUGAGCAGCGGGACCUGGCGGCUGGCGUUCUGGUGUGGGGCCGAGAACAGACCCUUCUUCUGAAAAGCCACUGGCCCCUUGUUCUAUGAAGUCGAUUUCUCAUUGUCUUCACCAAUCUUCUGAACCCGUGAAUACUUUUUGCAUGAUGAUUUGAAGCAGCCAGGAGGCCAAGACAGCGGCCAGGAGAAGCAGCAAGGAAUUGAGCCUUGUACAUUUUUCUCAAAAAAAUAAAAGAUGGGGAACCACCAUGCUCGAGAUAAGAAAUUAGUCUGUGAAGAGACCUUCAAGUUCUGUAAAUGGUAGAAAAAAAUUUAAAUGAGACAUAUCUUUCUCAAUUUGCAUCCCAAUUAUUUUCUUAAAUUGUCAUUCACUGUAACCUAGGGAAAACAGAAUUCAGAAUCACAUGGCAGUAAUGAUUUUCAUGUCCUUUCCCUAACUCUACCAUGACUCCGCUCCCCUAACACACCUAGGUGUCUUUCUUUCCUUUGUGGCUCAUGCAAUUUCUUCUGCCUGCAAUUCCAGUAAGAAUGGAGACUCUGGGAAUGGAUUUCAGAAUUAUUCAGGAGGAAUAAUUUUCAGGAUGUGUGAGUGAUCAAAUCUAGGGGCCAAGCAAGUCAAAGAGUGAAAGAAGAGCUCAGAAGUUGAACACAUUUAAGAGGAAAGAUGAAAAUUUUGGUUCAGUGGUGUCAGUAGUCAACUAGAUGGAAGUGUAAGAAGGAAGAUGGAAAUGGGAGACUACAAAAUAGGAAACAGAGCUACAAAGAGAAAUAAAGUAAUCCAAAGAAAGAGCAUUUAUUAGUGGACACCAAGAGUUGGACGUAGAUCCUUUGGAAAUGUAAUAUUUCAAUUGCUCACAAAUUCUCCAAAUUGACAAUAUGGCAAGUCUAUUCAAAGAUAAGUAAGUCAUGGUACACAGACCAACUCUAUUACACCAAGGACACAUACCAAGACUAGGAGAAAAGAGAGACUGGGAGGAAUAAUUCUGCCUUCGGACCAGAGGAAGAGAGCAAGAGUUAGAGACAGCUUCCUGGAAGAGGUGGCAUUUGAGCUAGCUCUUUAAGUUUCAAUGGGAGAAGAAAGAAAAGGCAUCUGGAAACAAGGAAGCAGCAGUAGCAAAUGAGGAAGAAUCAGAAGGGAAGCCAGAGAGCACCAUUAUCACCAGAGGAUAUACCAAAUCCAGUCAUUCAUAAGCUAUUUAUUUUGUGUGAUUUUAAACAAUAGCUGCUAUCGGCUGGGCACGGUGGUUCACGCCUAUAAUCCUGGCACUUUGGGAGGCCGAGGUGGGAGGAUCACCUGAGGUCAGGAGUUCAAGGCCAGCCUGGCCAACAUGGUGAAACCCUGUCUCUACUAAAAAUACAAAAUAAAAAUUAGCCAGGCGUGGUGUCGUGCACCUGUAAUCCCAGCUAUUUGGGAGGCUGAGGCACAAGAAUCGCUUGAACUUGGAAGGUGGAGGUUGCAGUAAGCCAAGAUUGCACCACUGUACUCCAGCUUGGGCAAUAGAACAAGACUCUGUCUCAAAAAAAAAAAAAAUUAAAAAAAAUAGCUGUUACCUUCUCCUUAAAAUUAAUUUAAGUUGAAGGCAGGAUUAUGUCUUACCCAGCUGCACUACAAUGCUUUUACAGAGAAGGUUCCUAAAUUUUAAUUUAGUACAUAUAUUUUUUCAUUCUAGUUUAAGUUACCUGAAUUAGCAAUGCACUGUGCUCCAUAACUUUAUGGCAUUUUUAUCCAUAAAUGGCAUUUAUAUUUGUGAAGUUCUUUGCUUUAUUUUAAAAAGCAGUAAUGGAUAUAUGUUUAAGUGAAUGUGGCAACAUCGGUUAUCCCCAUUAGGCUAUCUAAAACCCCACGACAUGAAAAGGGUCCACUGCAUUCAAAGAAAAGAAAUUAUCCAAGCAUCUUCACUGCUCUCACCUUUUCAUUGGCCAUUGAAUGGUACCACCAAAACAGUCGUGUUGUGAUAUAAUAAGCAAUGAUCACAUCGAUAGUGUAGUGUUCGUGUGCUACAAGAAUGCAGAUGAUCCCGGCAGCACUCAGCAGCCAGCAGAUUAAAUGAUACCACCAGAAGUGACGAGGCGAAUCUGGACAGUAGAAAAAUUACAGAGUUAAUAAGAUUCCCAGAGAUGAAUGUAAUGAUUACAGUCUGUCCUAACGACCUUAAGUAGAAUAACCCAGGAUCAGGAAGUCACCAGAAGGAUAAAACUGAUAACCUAAACUGAGUCACUAUGAACUGCCCAGGAUCUGCUCAGGUAGGAGGGAGGCAGAGGGGCUCCCUGGCAGCGGGCGUAAUAGUCAUUCACUGGGGAAGCUGGUAACACUAGACAUUCUAGGCCUUACCCACGUGAAUAAGCUGUUUAGUAAGAAAGAACAGAAUUGUUUCUUAUUAGGUUUGCUGGAAUUGCUGCAUACUGGCUCACAUAAAGGAGCCACUUUCCCACUGGAAAGAAAGAUAGUAGGGAUCAAAAGAAAAGGUGGUGGUCUAUGAAAAUAAGGGGGGAAAUGGGAAAGCAGGAGUAAUUUCAGGUUUUAAAUUUAUAUUAUUUCUCCAGGGGUAUGUGUAGGGUAAGGGGGUCAGAAGGAAUGGCAUUGUGGCUAGCAAUAUUUUGAUUCUCAGCAAUUUUACACUGUUAUUGCCAAUAGAAACUAUAAAACAUUCCCUCUGUAAAGGUUAGGGUUCCUAACCAUUCACUUAUGGACUCAGCCUUCCUGGUAAAGCCACUUAAAAGUUCAUUCUACUUACUAGCUGUAAGAGACAACUGUGGCACUCACUGGUUUAAACAUGAUGGUCCUCCCCUUCUCACACAAGUGUUAAUGACAAAUAUAACUGAAACCAGAGUUCAUCUCUAGCAGCUUGGUGAUCUGUUUUAUUUUAAAGC